rnacentral:lncRNA from 1 species
UAUUAACAGGUAAAAAUUUAGAGCAUACUGAAAUACUUAAACAUGAUUAUCAAACGGACACCAACUCAGUUUGGAAAUGACUAAAAGCCCAUUAGUUUUACAAAGUAUCAAAUAUCAAUAUGAGGAUGCUUUAGGCCUUUUUAUUUUAAUAUAAAAUAUUUUUAUAGUGGGAUCUGAACCUAGUACACUAUAAUCUCCAGAGCUUCAUUCAACCAAAGCCUUAUUUGAUUUUUAAAUAAAUUUUCUUUAAAUAUACUUUUACACAUUAGUUUUUUACCCACAUCUAGUAUAUAGAAAACACCAUACGAGAGGGUAAAAUACAAGAACAUACCGUUACAACAUUACCAAUACAACAACUACUAGAACUUGGUUUUGAUAGGCUUUAACUCUAGGAUUUUGAGACAAGGCUUGGCUAGUGUAGAAUUUUGGGGGUAAAGGCCGAUGUACUCAGAAGUCAGGAACAAACACGAGAUAGCAAGAAAGUAAUUAACAGCCUUGUCUUAUUUUAUGCACAUUCUUACCUUAUGAACAAUAUAAAACUAAACAAGAUCUAUCUCCUUAGACUAGCACUUAACCAAUUAAGAACAAUAUAAUCACCAAUCACACAAAAGGAAGAACCUGAAGAUGGUCAAAUUCAUGUUGAAAAACCCGUGCGGGAAGCUCUGAUAAAUCAAUUGUAAACCUCGCACCAUUAAUAUCUUGUGCAUCAAUCUUUACAGAUUCUGGCCUCUGAAAGCAGAAAAAAGAAAAGAAAUACGAGUAAAGGCAAGUGAGCAAAGAGACAAUGUAUUAUAUAGAAGUACAUAUGAUCGGUGUUGUCAAUGGUGCACGGCACACUCUAGACCCGACAACUUUUAUAUUGCCCAAAGUGCAGGGUGCAAAAACAGCACUAGACUGAAUGAAAUAUGGAGCAAUACCUAUGUCCGUAUUUUUUCAAUGUGUGUAUCUAAUAUAAAUAAUAAGGUAUAAUCAUGAUAACAAACCUUAAAGAGUGGUCUAAUUUACUCACAGAACAUGCAAUUUUUUUUAUUUUGACCAAUAAAUUCUCUUCCUUAUGGUCUCACAUAAAUUGUUUAAUAUUCAAAUAUUAAAAGGCAAAGAGUAUUAAAGAUUUUGCUCAUUGCCUAACCAAAAAACCAGACCUAGGCGCACCAGGCAUGCACCUAAUCAAACAUACCUCUGAAAGGGUCUGAGGCACUUCUGCUGUUUGGCGCUAAGGCCUUGACAAUAAUGCAUAUGCAAUGAAACAACAGAGUAAACAGAAGCAGGUGCUGCAAGUACCUGAACAUCAGCAUAGAUUCUUGGAAAAGAUAAGCAACCUUCAUUAAACAGCACCAUCUUCUUUGAAUAUUUCGCAACUCUCGGAUUUACAAGAACGAUUUCUUGCCCUUCACCUCGCUCGCCAACGGGAUUAAACACCAUCAGUUGGACAUUAAUUCCUACUUGUGGAGCUGAGAGACCAAUGCCAUCAGUUCUGUUACAACAAAUGAAAGCCAACCAAUUUUCACAUUAAAAUUGCAUGAAUUCUUUAAACACCUAAGUUUUACAUUUUUCCGACUAUAAAGAUCAACGCGCUAAAACCCUUAUAUUGCCUCCACUGCAAGCCACCAAAAAUGUUUGCUUGAGUGAAAUAAAUAAAUAUAUGUAGGUUGAGAUAUAUAAUUAUGAUAAACAACUCUAAAGAGUGAUGCCUUUCUUAUCGGUGAAUGUGUAUAUCUAAUCAAAAAACUAAAAGUAAGAAGAAAACAAUUAAAUAGAAUUUAAAUGAGACGACUUUAUUUUAAAAUUUACAAAAUUAAAAAAAAAAAUGCCCGAGCGCAUUGUGCAUUUGUUGCAACAGAAACGGUUGAAGGAUGUAGAUUUGAGUACCCUUAAACAUGUAUUAAGCUCCUAUUUAAGGAUUUGGGAUUUUAGAUUUGGAUUAGUCAUUAUUGUUGCUAAUAAUUACAAGUAAUAGCCAAAAGAAAAUAAAUAAAUAAAUAAAUAAAAAUCUUACUUGUACAUAACGUCGAACAUCUCAUCGACAAGUUUCUUCAAAUUCUCAUCAAAAGUGUCUAUUCGUUUAUUUCUCUUCCGCAAUAUGGGGUCCGGAUACUCCACUAUUUUCAGCGGCGGCUCAAACUGGAGAUCCUCCGCUUCGAAACAAAACAAAACAAAAUAUGUAACUUUAGAAGCGUAAAUUACAAAGAAAACCCGGUUCUUAUCGACGCUUUACUUACCGGAAGCCAUUUUGUGGUCUUUGGAAGAGAAACCUCGCUUGGCUUGUGCGUGGACCGGAGUUAGAAGAGGAUUGGUUUGGUUUACCGAGGAAGUGAACCGAGCAGGUGAAGUGAAAAUGUUGAACCGGUGAAGGAAGGCGGUGGGGUGGUGCAGAAUGGGAAGGAUAACGCGUGUUAGAGACGGAGAGUGGAGGUGGAGCCAACUCGCGCAAGCCAUUGAACUAAGAUUUUCGGAAAAAGAUCACUGUCGUAGAACUAAAAACCUUUUGUGUGAGUAUGUUCCGAAACAUUUUGGAUUUUUUGCGUUUUACUCCUUCUGAAUUUUCUUUUUCCUGAUUUUUGAACUUAGACAUAGGUUAUUAUACUAAUAAAAAAAGGGUAAACUGCACCAUUGGUCACUAAACAAUGGGUAAGUUUUCAUUUUGAUCACUUAACUAAAAAAGUUACAACUUGGUCAUCAAACUAUUCAAAAAUUUUCAUUUGAGUCACCUAAUUGUUAAAAUAAAUAUUAUAUGGUUUUCUCUAUUCACACGGUCUACACCAAUUGAAAGCUCUCUCACCUCUUCUUUUCUACAGUUCAAUUUUUUUCAUGAAUCAACUUAAGACAUCACAAAUUCGUAAACCAAAAUUCAAACAACUUUUUUCUUUCGACACUAACCAUUAGAUUGACUUGGAUCUAUGGUAUGCUCUUCUACUUGUCAAUGGGUAUUGAUCAUCGAAUUAUCACUUGGAGCUCGCUGGCGAAACUUAUUCUAAAAAAAACACUUAACAACUCAGUGACUAAAAUAAAAAUUUUCGAAUAGUUCAAUGACCAAAUUGUAACUUUUUUAGUUAUGUAACUAAAACGAAAACUUCCGGUAGUUUACCCAAUAAAAAAUCAUGUAUAAUAUUAAUUGAUAAAAAUAUCAACAUUGUGAUUAAUUAUCUUUAAUUAGUCACUGUUCAAAAAGAAUAGAGAUUAAUCUGCUUUAUUUUCUAAAGAGACUAAUUUAGUGAAUAUAAAAAUUGAAAAAGGCGAGGGACCACCUUUUAAUUAUUUCUUUAACUUCCUAAAUGCUUUUUUGUGUGAAACUGAAAUUUUCAGCUAUGUGAGGUUUAGUGUCGUUAAAAAAGUUCUAACUUUUUUUUUACUUUAAUUUGAUAUUAUUUUAUUGUAUUUAUCCAAAAAUCAAUAUGCAAAAUGAGAAUAAAAAUCUCGUACAAAUAAAGCUUAAGAAAGCCAUAUAUUCAAAUACACUAAACGGAGAAUGCAAUCGAGAACUUCGAUCUCAUACAGACAAAGCCCUGAAAAUUUUUAUUACAGAGAAAAAGAGACCACGGCUUGUUAUCAUAGCUGCUCUUAACUAUAGAGAAAGAUAGAGUCUUUAUACAGUUUCUUGCUCUUGUGGCAGUAAAAACAAUGACUUGAACAAUAGAUGCAAUGAAAUUCCAAACAAAAUCGAACUUUCAAAAAUUUAACAAACCAUAAAUCACAAGAAAUUAAAAAAAAAAAAAAUUUGAAUCACCACGUGACAAAAUGGUCCAAACUUUGUGCUAGUAAAAACUUCCUAUUCUUAAGACUUACCCUUCAUUGGCUCAGAAAUUUGAUUGGAAUUCAACAUGAAUUCUGAAAUGUUAUCAUUAACUAUUUUUAUUAAACUAUCACACCCUAGCACUUUGGGAAGAAAACAACAAAAAGAAAUUAUUAAGGUAAAUUACUUAACUCAUCAUCCAAAUUUUAGGGCACUUUUAUUUUGGUCACUCAAAAAGAUUUUUGCAAUUCCGUCACUUAAUUUUUAAGGCAUUUUCAUUUUAGUUACCCAAACAUUAAAUUAUUAACCGCUAAUUGUACACGCCAAACUAUGUUCAUAUCUUGUUUACACUUUUAUUUUGGUCAUCAUUUUUUUUUUAAGUCUUGAUCCGAGUAAAAAAAAUGAUUAAAGUGAAAAAGUGGUAGAAACUAAAAUAAUACAUUAAAAUUUUGUCAAUCUAUAUUUGUUUAUCCCAUUGCCAAGAAUUCUAAAUUUAUUUUUUUUUCAAUCUAAAAAUUUUAAAAUUCAAUGCAUCAAAAUUAAUUAAAUAAAUUGUUGAAUUUUUUAUCUCUUAAUAAUGUCAAUCAAUCUGUUAUAUAAUAUUGAAAAUAAUUAAUUUUAUUAAUGUAUUUUUCUUCCAAAUUUUAAAAGUUUAUUUUAUGUUUUCAAAUUAUCCUAAAUGAAAUCAUCUCAAAUAACUCAUAUUUGAUAAUUAUUUACAAUAUUUAAAUUUCUUUUGAUUAUAUAAUCUCGAAUCUUCCAUAUUAACCCAAAAACAAAGAAAAAUCCUUACAAUUAAUUAAAUUAAUUACUCAUUCUUCCUUUGUGUAAAAAAAUGAUGAAAAUAAUUCUGGAUUUUGUUUGGCAUGUAAGAUAAAAUUAAUUAAUUAAAUUAAUCGCAAUGAUUUUUUCUUUUUUUUUACUUUUAACUUAGCAUGGAAGAUUUAAGAUUAUAUAAUAAAAAAUUGAGUUUUGUAGAAAGUUAUUAAAUGAGUUAUUUAAUUUGAUUUUAAAUUGGAAACAUAAAAUAAAAUUUUAAAUUUUAGAAGGAGAUCAAAUUAAUUAAUUCCAACAUUUUAGUAAAAAAAAUCACUAUCAAGGGAUAAAAUUUUUUUUACCAAUUUAUUUAGUUGGUUUUGAUGUUUUGAAAUUUAAAAUUUCAAUAUUUAAGAAAAAUUUAAAACUUUGGGCAAGUGGUAAACAAGUACAAUAUGACAAUUUUAAAAAAAAUUAGAUUUAUAUUUUGAAAUUUUUAAAAUUUGAACUAAAAUUUGGUAUCCGAGUUAAGUUUUAUCUUUGCCUUGUCCGGUUUUAAAAUUUUGUAAAAUUCUCGAAAUAACAAUGCUAUGUUUUUUUUUGAAUUAUUUUUAAACAUUUUUUGAGAAUUUUUAUUCCAAACUUUUGUGCAAAAUCGUUAGAUUUUAUUAAAGUGAAAUUUCUAAAAUUAAUUAUGUUAUAAAUAAUUUAGUGAAAAAUUUUAGAAAUUUGUUGUUAUUAGUUACAUACAUUUUUUUAGGUGCAUAAAAAUUUUAGACUUAUUGCAUGAGGUAUUUAGUAAUAAAACUUUAGAAUAUAUGUCUAGAGAUCCAAAUAAUUUUAUUUGAUUAGAAAAUUAGCCACAACAACUUUAAUUAAAUGAAAUUAUUUAUUGUCGUAAAGAUCUUAUAAGGUUUAUAGACAAUAGAUGUUACAUAAUGACUUAGCAACAAUCAUGAAUAAAGUUUAAGGUUUAAUUAAAUUAAAUUAUUUAUUGUAGUAAAGAUCUUAUAAGGUUUAUAGACAAUAGAUGUUACAUAAUGGCUUAGCAACAGUCUUGAAUAAAGUUUAAGGAUUAAUAUCUAGUUAAGUGGUUUUCUUAAUUUUAUUUAGUUAAAGACUAGUCAUAGCAUCUCUAGUUAAAUAAAAUUAUUAAAGUUAAAAAUCACAUAGAGAAAGCAUAUGUAUUAAAUUCCAUUGCAUAAUAGAUAAAAUUAUUAGAUGACUUUUUAUGAGUUAUAAAAAUGAAUCUAAUAAGUUUUUUUAUCAAAAAGGAUAGUAAAUAAUUCUAUCAUAAACUGGAUCCAAUUGAAUUAAAAAUUCAGCCCACAUGCAUUGUUAUGACACUAGAUUCAUUAUUUACAUAAUUUGCAUUGGUAAAUUAUGAUUUAUGUUUGCCUCAAAUUUUUGUUAAGCAUGUAUGUUCAUUUAUUUUGCAGUUUUACAACCUGUAAAUAUGUAUGAUAAUAGAGUAGAUAUCCCUAAAUUAACUAGUGAGAACUUUAAGUUCUAAAAGGAGAGUAUUAUUCUCCAAUUGAGGUACUUGGAUAUUGACUAUGCCAUAAGAAAAUCCAAGCCACAUAUUACUGAAACCAAUACUCAGGUUGAUAUUGCUCUGUAUGAAAAAUAGGAGCGAUCUAAUUGCUUAAGUAUCAUGUUCAUAAAGAGUAAGGUUCUUGCUAAUGUUCGUGACUCAAUUGAGCAUUAUGAAAUAUGUUCGUGACUCAAUUGAGCAUUAUGAGAAUGUCCAAGAAUUAUUAACAACUAUUGAAAAAUAGUUCAAAACUUCUUAAAAAUCAUUAGCCAGCACCCUAUUCAUGAAGUUCACAUCAAUGAAGCUCACUAUCGUGAAAGGUGCACGUGAUCACAUCAACAAGAUGAGAGAUUUAGCAGCUCAAUUGAGAGCACUUGAGGAUGAAAUGUUUGAAUCUUUCUUGGUGCACUUUAUAUUGAAUACUCUUCCACCUCAGUAUGGGUCAUUUAAGAUAUCUUAUAACACACAUAAGGAUAAGUGGUCUAUUGAUGAGCUUUUGACCAUGUGUGAUCAAGAAAAGGCUAGACUCAUACUAAAGAUACUAACGGUUACUCAAAGAAAGAAGACAACCUAAGCCAAGCAAAAGGGGAAGGCCAAAAUGUAACCCCAAGUUGACAUAAAGAACUAGUCCUAGUGUUUUUUCUAUAAAAAGAAGGUACACUUAAAGAAGGACUAUGUCAAGUUUAAGAGCUAGCUUGAAAAGAAAAUUAAAUCAAUCUUACUUGUUUGCUUUGAGUCAAAUAUGAUUGAUGUUAGUUAUAACACAUGAUGGAUUGAUUUUGGUUCUACAAUCCAUAUCUUCACUUCCUUAUAGGGAUUAAGAAACUUUAGGGAACCAGUAGGAGCUAAGUGACACAUCUAUUUAGGAAAUAAGAUGAAGUCACAUGUGGAAGAAAUUGGAACAUGCAAAUUAGUGCUUAUGAUUGAUUUUGUUUUAAUUAUAGAGAAGACUUUUUAUAUACCCAGUUUUUUAUAGAAAUUUAGUUUCUAUUUCAAGACUUACACCCUUUGGGUAUUGUUUUAGUUUUUCAAACACUGGUUUCAGUUUAUUUUAUAAAUUUGAGCUUGUUGGAAAUAGUGUUUUAUCUUAUGGUCUUUAUUCUCUUAAUUUGUAAAUUAAUGCCACUUACAAUGUUAUGCACAUUCAAACUAGCAUUAAACGUUGUGUUAUAAAUGAAGAUUCCUCUAUUUUAUGGCAACGGAGUUUAGGACACAUCUCCAUUGAAAAGAUUAAUAUAUUAAUAAUGAUGGGGUACUCAAUACUUUAGAUUUUACUGAUUUCAAUACUUGUAUAGAUUGCAUUAAGGGCAAGCAGACUAACAAAUCAAAGAAAGGUGCCAAGAGGAGUUCGACCAUAUUGGAAACUAUCCAUUUUGAUAUAUGUUUUCCAAAUAUGGAUGUGUAAGGUUAGAAAUACUUCAUCACUUUCAUAGACGAUUACUCAUUAUAUAUGUAUCUUUACAUGCUUCAUCACAAGAGCGAAACAUUAAAAUCCUUUAAAGUUUUCAAGGCCAAAGUAGAGAAACAAUGUGGUAAGCAAAUCAAGAUUAUGAGAAUCGAUAGAGGUGGUGAGUAUUAUGGUAGAUACAAUAAGGAUAGACAAACACCUGGUCCAUUUGUAAAGUUUCUUCAGGAUAACGGUAUAGUUGGCCAAUAUACCAUGCCAGGCUCACCUGAUCAGAAUGGUGUUGCGGAAAGAAGAAAUCGAACUUUAAUGGACAUGGUGCAAAGUAUGCUUAAUAGCUCUAAGUUGCCUAAGUCCUUAUGGGUUGAAGCUCUCGAAACGACUGUGUAUAUGUUAAACCGAGUUCCAACCAAGGCUGUCUCAAAGAUACCUUUUAAGUUAUUCAAAGGUUGGAAGCUGAGUUUGCAAUAUAUACGCAUAUGGGGAUGUCUGCCUGAAGCAACAGUUUAUAACCCACAAGAAAAGAAACUAGAUCCAAGGAACAUUAGUGGGUAUUUCAUUAGAUAUGCCGAAAGGUCCAAAGGUUACAGAUUCUAUUAUCCAUAUUAUAGCACUAGAAUUAUGGAAUCGAGAAAUGUAAAUUUUCUUAAAAAUAACUCAAUUAGUGAGAGUGAUCAAUCUCGAGACACGAUUCUCGUAGGUCAAACUUUCCACUUUAGGUGAGAGAUUGAUUAUCAUUCAUAACACCCCUCAAGCUUAACGGGGUGUUGAACAAUCAAUCAAUGAAAAUUCACAAGCUACUGAAAACACUCCAGUAGAUCAAGCUGAUCAAGAAAAUUUGAAAAUUAUUGAACAAUUAGUUGAAUAACAUGAUCCAUAAGAAAAUGUUGGUUCAACAUUGAAGAGAUCUACUAGAGAAAGGAAACCAACAAUUUCUAGUGACUAUUUGUAUAUAUACAAGAGUCUGACUAUAAUAUUGGAGUUGAGAAUGAUCUUGAGUCAUUUUCACAAGCCAUGAGUUGCAAAGAGUCAGAAUUUUGGUACAAUGCUAUGAAUGAAUAGAUGAAUUCCAUGAAAAGUAAUGAUGUUUGGGAUCUUAUGUCGUUGUCUGAAGGUGUAAAAAACAUUGGAUGUAAAUGGGUCUUCAAAAUAAAAAGAGACUCAAUGGGCAAAAUAGAAAGAUAUAAAGUUAAACUCAUUGCAAAAGGAUUCACUCAGUGAGAAAGAAUCGAUUAUAUUGAAACUUUUAGUCGUAUAUCUAAGAAAGAUUUCUUGCGCAUUGUGUUAGCAUCAAUAGCUCAUUUUGACUUUAAGUUGCAACAAAUGGAUGUGAAAAUCGGUUUUCUCAAUGUUGACCUAGAAGAAGAGGUAUACAUAAAAAAACUUGAAGGAUUAUCCUAUAGUGAUGGUGAACACUUAGUAUGCAAGCUAAAAAAGUUCAUAUAUAAAUUGAAACAAGCCUCCCAAUAGUGAUAUUUAAAAUUCCAUAAAGUUAUCUCUUCGCUUGGUUUUGUCAAGAAUAUCAUGGAUCAGGAUAUACCAGAAGGUCAGUGGGAGUAAAAUUUGUUUCCUUAUUCUAUAUGUGGAUGACAUUUUACUUGCAAAAAAUGCCAGGGGUAUGCUACAUGAAGUGAAACAAUUUCUUUCUAAAAAUUGUGAUAUGAAAGAUAUGGGUGAUGCGUCUCAUGUCAUUGGCAUUAAGAUUCAUUGUGAUAGACAUCACGGUAUCUUAGGUCUAUCUCAAGAAACCUAUAUUAACAAAGUUUUAGAAAGAUUUUAGAUAAAAGAUUAUUCAUCGAGUAUUGCUCCUAUAGUGAAGGGUGAUAAGUUCAAUCUGAACUAGUGCUCGAAGAAUGAAAUUGAGAGGGAUCAAAUGAAAAACAUUCCAUAUGCUUCUGUUGUUGGAAGCCUGAUGUAUGUUCAAGUCUGCAUAAGACCUGACAUUGCAUUUACAAUUGGAAUGUUGGGAAGAUAUUAGAGUAAUCUAGGUAUUGACCACUAGAAAGUUGCAAAGAAAGUUUUGAGAUAUCUUAAAGGGACAAAUGACUACAUGCUUACGUACAAACGAUCAGACAAUUUGGAGGUGAUUGGCUACUCCGAUUCAGACUUUAUUGGUUGUGUUUAUUCACGAAAAUUAACAUCAGAUUGCAUAUUUAUGUUUGCUAGCGGAGCUAUAUCUUGGAGGAGCGUUAAGCAAACCUUAAUCGCUACAUCCACUAUGGUGGCUAAGUCGUUUCAUAUUUUGAGGCUACCUCACAAGGAGUAUGGUUGAAGAGUUUUCUUUUUGGGCUUACACUUAUAGAUUCGAUUUCUAGGUUGUUGAUGGUAUAUUGUGACAAUUCAAUUGUUGUCUUUAUGGCUAAGAACAACAAAAGUGGAAGUCGAAGUAAACAUAUCGAUAUUAAGUAUCUAGCUAUAACGGAACGUGUUAAAGAAAAGAAAGUGAUCAUUGAGCACAUUAACACUGAGUAGAUGUUAGUUGAUCCUUUGACUAAAGGCAUGUCACCACACAAAUUUAAGGAUCAUGUUGUCACUAUGAGACUUGUUUCCACCUUGUAAAUUAUCGUUAUAAGAACGAUUAUAAAGAAAUUAAGUUUGAUGUUUCUGAUAUUUUGUGUACACAUUAAUUUGAUUUCGAGAAAUGUCACUAAAGUUUGGACCUGGAAUAAACAUUGGGUUUAUUCAUUAAGAAAUUUGGGCUAAAGUAUUGAGACAUGCUAUAUUGUUAUACAAGGAAGAUAUUACUCAAAUUCUAAGAGAAAUUAUCACCAUGAUUUGUGCAUUAUGUUUCGACUUUAAGUAUUCAUGGGCAAUAUGAACCAAGUGGGAGAAUGUUGGAACUGCUUUGGUUUGUGGGGUUAUUCCCACAUUUUGCUACUCUUACUUCCACACUUUUGUAUGUGUGAUAGUGGGAUGUGUAAUUGAUGGUUUUUUAUGGGUAACUACCACUAUAAAUACUAACUAGCAUAAGGUCCUUAGGCAAAAAAAAAAUUUCUUUCAAAGAUAGGGAAUUAUAUAUACCAUUUAGUGAGGUUUUCGAGUGCUUAGAAGACUUUGGCGGUUUUUAGUUUUUAGUACAAAUAAAAUCGACGUUCUCGACGGUAGUUUGACAUGCUCGACAGUGGUGUUAUAACAUUCAGGUUUAGGCAUUUGGUUCAAGCAAUGACUCGAGGUAUUUAUGUUUGAUAUUUUUCGCUGCUCUAUAUUGUAAAUCGCUAUUUAUGCUAACAUUCCAGUCCAUUUAAGCUAAUAUUGGUCUACAUCGGUGAUACAAGAUUUUAAUAUUUUAAAUUAAUUUUUAAAAAAUUUUAUCUGGACCAUUUUUGUUCUUUUAUAAUUAUGUUAAAAAUAAAAUCAAUAAAUUAAGCUAAUGAACAUAAUUAAUAAUUUAAAUUUUAUAUUUGCAUAUAAAUAUGUUUAUAUUAUAAUUGAGAUAUAUUUCUAUACGUAUAUAUUAAUAUAGAUAAAUAUUAUAAGUAUCAAUAUUAGAAAGAAAAACUAUUCAUCAACUAAUACAAUAUUAACAAGUUUGAAAAUAUCAUUAAAUUUUUUUCUCAUAUUUAUUUUUGCCACUAUUGAGGUUUCAAAUUUUAAUAAAAUUUUCUAAAUUAGCAUAUUUAAUAAUAAAUAUUUAAUUUUAUUAUGGAAACUUAAAAGAAGAUAAAAAAAAAAAGGUUUUGCGGUUGAGAGGAUAUGAAGAAACUCAUCCACAUUCCUCAACUUGGUCUCCUAACAUUAUCAAUUAAAUUUAUUUUAUUUUUCCAAAUUGAUUUUUUUCUCCUCAUUUUCACAACCUACCACUUCUUCUACCACGUGGCAACAUCUUAUUAGCAACAUCCACCACAUAACUGGGUCUCACAACACAACCCCUUCAAGGCACAGAAACCGAAGGCUCCACGUGUCACUAAUCCAAGACGGUCCCACAUGCUCAUGUCAGCCAACGGUGCUGAUCUCGUUCGGUGAGAUCACAUUGUAAACGACAAGUCCCACAAGAUUUAAAUAAGGACAAUGUCGUAAAUAAACCCUUCUUUUCGAAUAUUAAAUUUUAAACAAAAAAUUUUAUUUUCUUCAUUUCUCGUUGGAGUUUUGCCUGAAAAAGCCAAACACCUUCGAGAAAAACCGAAAAUUUCUUUAAACAUAGAAAAGAAAAGGCGUAUUUUCUCGGAUAAUUAAUGGGAAGAGCGUUUGUGUAUGUAAUUCUUGGAGGAGGUGUAGCAGCUGGAUAUGCAGCUCUUGAAUUUACGAGAAAAGGGGUUUCUCCUGGUGAACUUUGCAUUAUUUCUGAAGAACCUGUGAGUUUUUUUAAUUAAGAAUUCAAUCUAGUUUUCUAAAUUUGUUUUUCCUUUUCAACUUUAUAUUUCACUUCAUUUUCUUUUUCUCUCUGUUGGGUAUUUACUGUUUGUUGAAUUCGGUGCCUCUGUUAUCUAUGUUCUUUGUUUGCUUGAAGUCUUUCUGGUUUUGUUUUGAAUUCUGCCUCUUCCUUUUUUUUUGGUACUACAACACUUAUUCUUGCUGUAUCGUUUGAUUUUUUUAUGAUUUGGUGAAAACUGAAAAACGGUGUCUUGUUUGCAUAUUUGAUAUGUUUCAAAGCUGAAUUGAAUUGAUUUUGGAGAAUUAGAGUGUAGAAGUGAAUUAGGAUAUUGUUGCUUUUACCGAAAGAAGUUUGAAUUUUCUAAAAUUAGGCUCAUGUAUUGGAAGUUGGAAAAUGUAUGGAAUUUGGGCAGUCAAAUAUGCAGUUAAGAGAGGUUUAUGCUCCCCAAUUCUUUGUAGUGCAUGCCAUGGAUAAUGUUAUACACUUAAUACUCUGUGUUACUUGGACUUGGUUUUGAGUAAUAGAUAUAAUAGGGAUUUCUGUCCGACACAGGUACUCAACUCUAUUUGUUAGGUUUUUUCGUAUAUUUGGAAAACCAUACCAUCCGUGUUCGAAUAUAUAUAUCGAAUAUGAUUGUUCCAAACACAGGUACUUUAGGUAAAAUGAAGAGUUGGAGCAGCAUAGCCUAUACUAUGGGGAUGCUUAAUCAAUCAUCUGAACUUUGUGUCCUUUUACUAUGUUAGCUCUAUCCUUAACACCGUUAAAGAAAGUUUUGAUUUGUUCUUUAUCCUAUUAAAUUCUGAUCUGGCCAUAAAAGGUGCAGAGGGUGGGGCAACAGGAAAUGAGAGAAGACAAAAAAAAAGAAAAGAAGGAAAAUUUUUUAAAUAAAAGAAACCUGUUUUUGGUUUUAUUUUUCAAAAAAAAGUAUGUAUGAUGCAUGACAGCCUCUUGUCAAAUUUUAUCAGUGGAUGACCAAGCAUUUCUCAUUGUCGGUGUUAAGGGUUAGAUUACUUGAUGGAUGGAUUGAAAGUUCACAUACCUGAUCAAACUUUUUUCUACUGUAGGUUUGACAUAGGAAGUUUUCUGAUACAUACUGGACACUAACGCAUUUUAUGAACUUAAGUCAUCUGUAAUUAAGGAAAUCUUAAGGGUGUGGCUUUAUGCAUUGCAAGAGGCUAUCUUCUCUUCUUAGUUCAUGUUUCAUUACUAAUGCCUAUUUAUCAUUCAGAUUUGUAGUUAUGUUAUAAUUUUUGAGUACUUCGUAUUUUUAUUCCUUGAUAUGUCAAUAUUAGUAAAGGAUUACGGGUUUUUUUUGCAGGUUGCCCCAUAUGAGAGGCCUGCUUUAAGCAAAGGCUUUUUACUUCCCGAAUGUAAGAAACAUUUUCAAUUGUUCACUCAAUAUAUGUUGUUUCUUACUUUCUUUUUGGGUUCAUUCAAUUUUCCACGCCGGUCUUUCAGUCAGAAGAAGAUUGAAGAAACAAGAGUAGUGAAGAGAAUGAAUUUAAUAUGACAUUUCGGAUGAAUUUGUUUGGUGGUAAUUACUGAUAAUAGUACAAUAUAUCUUGUUUAUACACUAGAGCUGUUCUGUAUCUCUUUGUCUUGUUCAUUGAGUUGUAGUUGUAAUUAUAAAAUGUUGUUACUAAUAAUAGGGAUAGAAUACCUAGUAAAGUGGCCGAUAACCAACAACUUGUAGCUUUUUGGUAGUGGUAGAGUUCAGGGUGGGCAUUGGUUUCUUGCCUAUUUUCUAACCUGUUUUUGUGGAAUUAAUCUGAUAAUUUGAAUCUUAGUAGAAAGACGUGUUUUUGGUCGUCACUUAUCCUGAUAUUCUAUGGUUUUUGUUGAUAAAUUUUGCAUUAAUCUGCAGCUCCUGCACGCCUUCCAUCAUUCCACACAUGCGUUGGUGCUAAUGAGGAAAGGUUAACUCCUAAAUGGUACAAGGAACAUGGUAAAUAUUUUCUCACAGCAUACUCCUUUUACUUCAAUGAUUGCUCAAUGCUUCAUUGCAAGAUUGUCGGUCACUUUCUGGUUUGACAUAUAAAUGUAUCUCAAAUCAUCAUUGAAAGCUAUGUUAGUCUAUUUUUCUUGACGUACCUGUCCGACACAUAUUUGGAGAUAGGUUCGGGGGCACGAUUCUCCAAAUUUAUGUAAAAACUUGGAAAACUGAAGAUACCCAAGUUUGACACUGAUCCCUGAGUCCUACUAACAUCAAUUGAAAGUACAGAUGAACCUAUUAGUAGUCAUAUUUCCUUCUGUUCAUAUAUGCAGUCGAAGAAAGAAAAGUAAACCUUUCAAAAUUCUACUAGAACUUUCUCUCUUCUAAAGAAAUUGUUUUCACAUUUUUUAGGGAUUGAAUUGGUCCUUGGAACUCGAGUUAAGUCUGUUGAUGUCAGACGUAAGAAGCUAUUGACAGCAACAGGAGAGACGAUAAGUUACAAGAUCCUUCUCAUUGCCACAGGAGCUCGGGUAUUGAAACUGACCUUUUAAAUCACCUAUGACCUUCUCUCACAUUGUUUGUUCAAUAUGUUUGUUACUCCUCUCAGAAAAAUGAGAAUAACUUCGCUUAAAACAAGAAAAAUAUUUUUCUAUAAAGGACGGUAUUUGUAUCAGACUCAACAGGAUGAGUUAACACAAUGGUCAAUUUUGGAGUUUAUCUCGUUAUUGGCACAAUUUAUGAUUCUUUGAAUUGUAGAGUGCCGAUAUUUUUCUCGUGGAUAAUGUGUCCACUUUUCUGGCUUAAUUUUGUUCUUCUAUUUUUGUGUUAAAUGUAGGCUUUGAAGCUUGAAGAAUUUGGAGUGGAUGGAUCAGAAGCUGAAAAUGUAUGUUACUUAAGAGAUUUAGCAGAUGCAAACGGUCUUGUUAAUGUGAUGCAAUCUUGUUCCAGUGGAAACGCUGUAGUAAUUGGUGGUGGGUACAUUGGAAUGGAAUGCGCAGCAUCUUUGGCGAUCAAUAAAAUAAAUGUAACCUUGGUUUUUCCCGAAGUACAUUGUAGUGAGUGUCCAUAGUGAUGUGUUCUUUUCUUGAUCUCGUUCUUGUUUCAAGCUUCUGGACCAUAAAGAGUAUGUUUAAGUAAAUCAUAGUCCUUUUUUGAUGUGGCAGUGGCUCGAUUGUUUACACCGAAGAUUGCAAACUAUUAUGAGGAAUAUUAUCAAGCUAAAGGAGUUAAGUUCGUCAAAGGAACUGUCUUGACGUCGUUUGAAUUUGAUUCUAGUGGAAAGGUAAAUUAUCUUAAUAUGCUUAAAGUUGAAUUUCUUUUGCCGUAGAAUAUUAUAGUAGCUGGAUUAUUACUAAAAGUUGCAUCACAUUUUGGAGUGGAACCUGAUGUUUAUUGCUUUUCAGGUUAUGGCUGUUAAUCUUAGAGAUGGAAGUCAGCUACCUGCAGACUUGGUCGUGGUUGGAAUCGGAAUACGCCCAAACACGAGCCUUUUUGAAGGCCAACUAACACUUGAAAAAGGUGGGAUCAAGGUGAAUGGGAAGAUGCAAACAAGCAACGACUCAGUUUAUGCGGUUGGAGAUGUUGCAGCAUUUCCAGUCAAACUAUUUGGUGAAACUCGCAGACUGGAGCAUGUUGAUUCAGCCCGAAAAUCUGCUAAACAUGCUGUUGCUGCAAUAAUGGAACCCAAGAAAUCAGGCGAGUUUGACUACCUCCCAUUCUUCUAUUCCAGAGUCUUUGGAUUGUCUUGGCAGUUUUACGGGGACAAUGUAGGAGAGGCAGUACAUUUCGGGGAUUACUUGAGUGGUACCUUUGGGGCUUACUGGAUAAGCAAGGGUCAUCUUGUUGGGUCUUUCCUUGAAGGGGGAACCAAAGAGGAGUACGAAGCCAUAGCGAAAGCCACAAGUCUCAAACCACCGGUUGAAGAUCUGGCUGAGUUGGGACAGCAGGGCCUAAACUUCGCAUUGACAAUUAGCAAGAAACCACAGCCGGCACUACCCAUUGAAGUCAGCCAUUCUACUUCUGGCCUUGUUUUGGAAAAACCGAUGUAUGCUUGGUAUGCGGCAGCGGGAGUUGUUCUGGCAGCAUCAAUAGCUGGAUUUGCAUAUUGGUACGGGAGGAGACGUCGAAGGUGGUGAGAAAUCAUCAUCCAUGUAAAACACCAUUGUUGUAGCAGUGAUACAAUAAAAGUGUUGUUGAAAUACUGGAUAUGUGAUGAUUUGUAGUCGAACUCACUCGAUAGCUCAAAAUUAUUAUUACUCAAAACAACAUCAUAUUUUCCAUCAAAAUUCUUGAAUAUAUUAAUUUUUGCAUGAAAAGUAAACAACUAUAUGGCGGCAUCUGUCUAAACAUCAUACAUUUAUUUAUUAAAUAUAUGCAUAUUAUGCAUUAAUUUAUAUGGUGUUUCUAAAAUUUGACUCAGCGUACGUAUUUAUAUGUAGUCACUCAUUUUUCCGGGUAUUAUAUAACCAGCUGUGCUAAUAUAUGCAUUCAAAUGGAUUCUCAUACUAUAAAUAUAGUAAGAAAAAGGAUCAAUCUGGGCGUUUGAUCUAGUGGUAUGAUUCUCGCUUUGGGUGCGAGAGGUCCCGAGUUUGGUUCUCGGAAUGCCCCUGUUUUCCCUGUUGGAUAUACAUAUUUUUCAAUUGCCAACAAACAGAAACAGCUUCAACAAGGGGUCGGUCGAUCGAGCUUCAAGUUCAGCUCCUUUGCUUUCUGAAAAAUAAGUUUUGAGCGUUGUACUUUUAUACCUAACCUAACUUUGAUUUUCGCCGUAUCAUUCAACAACAUGAAGAUUUGGAUUUGGUAGUCCUAAUCUCACUAAAUAUCAUGUACAAUUUAUGCAAUUUCAAAAAAAAUAUUUGAAGAAAAAGCAUCUCAUCAAUCCAUUACUUCUUAGCUUUGGCAUUAUUUUACUUAAUCACGUCAAGUUGGUUUCAAUAGUGAUCAUAGCUAAUAAUCUGUCACUUUUCUAUCUGCACCUAUUGAGUAGAGUGUUUGAAGAUUGAGACCUAUACCAAGCCAAUCUCACUUUAUAAAUACAUUCCAUCAACAUAUAGAAGAACUUGGUUUGCUUCUAACACAAACAUUGUCUCAACUUCCUAUACCUCCAACCUUAGUGGCUCUCCACGCUAUAAAUGAAUGUGAACCACAAAAGUAGUCUACCCAAUAUUUUAUGUAACUUAAUUGUUAUAAUAAUUAACGGCAUAAGUGGGAACUAAACAAAAAGUUAUAUCUCUCCCCUUAGGGAGCUAUUGUUAAGAACAAAAAAAUUAAUAUGCUAUCUGUGGAAACCAACUUUUUGUUUUUGGAAAAAAAACAAAAAUUAGUUGUCGAUGAAAAUUUGGAGUCGCCACUAAUCUUUUAUUAAGGUGUGAUUGGGUCACCUAAAAACGACUUUGGUCUACGAAUUUUAGAAAAACGGGUCUGGGAGUCGAUUACGUAUGAGAAAGGAUUAACACCCUCAUAACGCCCAAAAAUUGGUACCUAGUUAAUUAAUUAAUGUCUUAAUGUCGAAAAUUUGAAAAUAUAUAAUCCUUAGCAAAAACUUAAAAACGUUACGUGUUAAGACCCUUAUCAUUUUAGAGAAAGAAAAUGUCACACCCAAUGCGUUAGGACACGACAUUCUAAUUUCCUCAAAAAUGAAUUAGGCCAGAAUACUCGUGUAAUAAAAAUUUAAAAGAAUAUCCAUUUAUUCAAGAUUUAAGAAAUCGCGGCCCAAUACGUUAGGGCACAAUUCCUUCAAAAUCCCAAACUUGGAAUAUUUCCUUUAUUAUCUUUUAGAAAAAAUCUUCAUUUCGAGAAAUCAAUGCGUCACAUCCAAUACGUUAGGAUACAACGUGUUGAAUUCUUAUUUUUUUGAUUAAAGAGAAAUGCUCGAUUGUUAGAUUUAACGAAGAAAAUCGGAACCCAAUACGUUAGGGCUCAAUUUCCUUGAAAAUCCUAUAUACAAGCAUUAUCUCAAUUUUGAAAAGUUUGAAAUCGAGUAAAAAAAUGAUGUGAUGCUACAUUAAAUAUACAAUGCAAUAAUAAAUAUUACAAUGACAUAGAAAUAAUAUGAAUAAAUGAAUAAACAAAAUCGAUAACAUGCAAAGUAUCAAAUAAAUAAACAAAAUAAAAAAUAUUCUUUUAAAAUAUAAAUGAUAACCUAAAUCAAUAAACAAAUGGAGGAAAUAAACAAAAAUAUAAAGAAUAAGAGGUACAAAAUAUAUAUACAUUUGAAAUUAUGAAAAAUAAGAUAAAAAUAUAAAAGUAUGUAUAUGUAUAUAUUUACAAAAUAAAAAAAGUGUAUAAGUAUAUAUUGAUAAAUCAUGAAAAUACAUAUAUGUAUGUAUUUAAACACUUAUAUAUAUGUACAAUAUGUAUAUACAUAACGGAAUAUAUAGAAUAAAAAAAAACUUAUAAUGAUUUAAAAGUAAAAUAACAAAAAUGUUUAUACUAUAGAAAAUGAAUAUAAAAAAACCAUAUGUAUAAAAUAUAUAUAGGUAGACGUAUACUAUAAAAAAAACAUAUAUAUAUUAUAUAAAAAAACAAUGCGUGCAUACCAUAUAAAAAAAAUGCAUAUAUAUAUUAUAUAAAAAACGCGUGCAUACUAUAUAUAAAAAUGCGUAUAUAUAUUAUUAUAAAAAAUGCAUAUUUAUAUAUAGUAAUAAUAAUAAUAAUAAUAAAAAUAAUAAUAAUAACCAUAAAAAUAAUAAUAACAAUGUUAACAAAAUAAACUAAAGAAACCUAAAAUGAAAGAUUAAGGAUUAAACUGAAAACUAAACGGAGUUAAAAGGCUGAAUUUAAAGAUAGAAAACACUAAAGGGGACUAAAUUAAAACGCGCGCAACAGGGGAGGAUCCAAAAGAGAAUUAAUCCCACCCUCCAAAAAGCCGCGUCUUAAUAAGGACCAAAGUGAAACAAAAAUAAAACGUGUGGUUAAAUUUAAAAGAAAUAAAAGAAAAUGAUUAAACAUACUUCAAAAAACAAAGGACCCAAUAGAUAAAUAGCCCACCAAGGGUCCAAACAGGCAAAUCCAUAGCCAUUAAACGACACUAUUUUUCAAACCCCAAAAAAACUUUUAACAAACAUAUCAUUUCAUUUUCUUCAAAAACAGAGAAGGGAGGGGAGAACUCUCUGCUAGGGUUCUUUUCUCAACCCAAACCCCAGCCACACCACUGCCAUGACGCCGCCCAAAGCACCACCCUUGACGGCAGUUUGAAGGGACCGAACCAAAGGUAGGCACCUCCAUUCUUUCUUUUCUUAUUAUUUUCUGCUAUUAGAAGAUAUAAAAACAUGUAAACAAAAUCGAAAAAAAAACUCUAAAAACGACGAAAAUCACCUUUCCAAAAAAAUGUUUUCUGAUUCCUUGUUCUUGUAUUUUUUCAAUCCAACAUUCCUUUCCCCCUUUUCCUUUUUUUUAUUUGAUUUCCUCCCUUUUUAUAUUUUAAGAGAAAAUAAAAAAAAGUAAAUAAUAAAUAAUAAAUAAAAUCGAACACCCACAAAGUAAACUAAAAAAUAAUCACCUCCGCUUUCCAAAAAUUUUGAAUCUGUUUUCUUUUCUUUGUAUUCUCUUUCGUUCCAAAAAAAAAAAUAUCUUUUGUUACAAUGUUUGAGUCUGCUUUUUAUAGCAGACCAAUGAAAAAAAGAAAAAAAAAGAAAAAAGGUAUGAAAUUUCUAUUGCAUCUUUGCUUGCUGAAUUUCCUCUGAGUUUCUCGUUAUUCUGCCGAUUCUAUCUUGUUGCCUUUCUUGUCGUGCAGGUGAAGGCGGCUCGUGCAAGGCGCUUGGUUGCGGUGCUGAAGACUCCCUUAGAAACCCUAGGGUUUCUUCAUUUGUUUUGGGCCACUUGUAUUUUGGGCCUUGUAUUCUAGGCCAGCUCGUUAAAAUACUGGACUUUUUUAUUUUAUUUUUAUUUAUAAAAGGGCCGGGUAAAAUUUAGGUAUUACAGUAUCCAUUAUCAACUCCAACAAGGUGGACCCAAACAUCAAAAUCAAAAUAAUAUUCUAAAACCUUAUUGUCUAUCCUUUUCAUAAUUUCAGCGAUAAAAUAAUAAUUAUACUUUACAAUUUUCUUCCGCCACCUUAAUAUAUUGUCAAGGGUAUUGUUGAGAUCUAGGAGUGAGAGAAGAUUUCAACAGUAUAAUCUAAAAUGAAUUUCUUUGGACUCAAUUCCAGGAAGGACUAAAAGCAACCCAGGAAAGAAGAAGACUCUUCUUGGGACCUCUUAAAGACGUCAACAUAGUCCUAACUUAGAGGGGCAACCAAACCUUCGCGCUGCUGAAUGGAGGAAAGAUACGGCCACAAUAAGGUAUCAAAACUAUCGAUGCUCGGAAUAUUUAAAAAGGUAUCAUCUAUGCCAUUCUUCGUUACAUUCUUUAUUAUUAUUAUUAUUAAUAUAAUGCCAGAAUUAUUUAUAAUCCAUACUCAACUCUUAAAUUGAAGUAUAAAUGCAUUUCAGUAUACUCAAACUCACGUGCUCUUGUCAUUAAAAAAAGAAGUCUACGGUUGAGAGAUUGUAUCACAAUAAUAUAGGUCACAACACAAACGAUUACCUUCACUUGAUGGAUGCCAUUAAAGCAACUGUAAGGAGGGGAUACCUGAAAAUAUUCAUAAAGGGAACACCUCAUUCCUUAAAAAAAUAAAGGGAGGAGGCAUCACAAUAAAUAAAUAAGCUCUGGAAGUCGUAGAAUAUUGAUGCAAAAGGUCUCAGGAUGCUGGCACACUACAACCAAUGCCCUUCAAAAGUGAAGAUAAAAGGGGGUCUGGCUUAAUAGGCAAUUGAUUGUGUACGCUUGGCAAGAUGGAUGACACAGUUGAGGAGGCCAUAAAAUAAAAAGCAACAACAAGAGCUUGGGUUUUUAAACUGAUACCUUGUGAAAGAACAAAUUAAAGAGAAAACUUUGAUUUUGUAAUUCACUAUUGAUGCAAUAAAGAGGUACACUUUAUAAGAGGAAACAGAUUAUAUUUACAAGUCUUACUUGAAAUUCUAAAAGUAAGUAGGGUGAUCUUCCUGUCUUUGACUCAUUCUUGUAACACUCAAAGCCUUAAUGGUUUGGUUGAUGAAGGCUGGCAAGCUUAUCACCAACUUCAGGAUGCUUAGCUCGGAAACUCUCUUGUCACCAACACUAUCUUUGACUCAUUCGUGUUGACUUUGAUGAAUGCAAAGUCUUGCUUCCCUCCACUAACCGCUCUAAUGUUGAUGACUUGUCAAGAUCGUCAUAUAUGGGGAAAAUCAACUGUGCUUGAUAAAGAGGGCAUAAUCACCAUUGUGAAAUAUUGCGAUGGUCAAAUUUUGGCCGGAUCCAACUAGUAAGGACUUGGUCCGUCUUAAUGGUUGAACCUCUACAAUUAAGUCUAGUUCAUCUUUGAUACACUGUACUAAUUGGAACAAUGUUAUUAUUGAAAACGAUCGUAAAAAGUCCUAAUUGCAACUCUCGUAAGUACAGAAUAUAUGUAACUAUUGAAGAUUACAUCUUUCGAGGAACUCAAUUGAAAUACGUGACUUAAUUUUCUGGGAAAAAAAAAAGGGGGUGAAAGAUUAGGUGGCAGACCUACUCGGAUAAAUUGUUGUCCUAUUAACUAGGCUAGUGCCCUUCAUUCUAAGCUGUACAAGCUCCUUCAGCUUUGCUGGACUUUGUUAUUAAUUACCCAAAAAAAAUAUUACGAUAAUCGAAUUUAUAUAAUUAAUAUACUAAAACCAAAUUUAUAUAAUUAACAAUUUGUAAGUUGUUCAAGCAAAACAGUGAAAUAUUUGAAUUCAACUCGAGUUGCUCAAGUUUGGUUUAAGUUCAAUAAUAAUAAAACCAAAUUCAUUUUUUUAAUAUAAUUAAUAUACUAAAAAAAUUCAAUAUAAUUUAUACCCAUUAAGCCUAUCACAAAAAUACAUAAAAAGAGAGAUAAGUUGAAAGGAGAAAAAGGAUUUCUCAUAAGACCAUGUAUCUUGUCAGUAAUUUAUGCUCUUUCAUCUCUAACACCUUUGAUAACAGGGGUGUAUAAGGAACCCUGAGUCAACAAGGUCCAAGACAGCAAGCUAUUAACAGAGUUGUAUAAUCUCUACCUCCAGGGGAUGGGGAUGAUGGAAGGGACAAGGGCUUCUUCGGAGGAGCUGAUAUUGUCAAGGACAAGGUCAAUAAUAUGAUUUAGGUUUGUAGAAGACUCCACGCUCCCUCUAUUAUCCAAGCUCUCCAAUCUUUCUUUAAAUGCAGAGAACAGGGUGUCAACAUGUCUAGCCUUUUGAAUAGCAGAUAGAAGUGGAACAACUACAUCUUAAGUGAAUUGGUUAGUAGCCCAGCCCCAGCACUAUACUACAUCAAAGUACUGUUGUAGUAGGUUCAAGUCAGUCAUUUCGAUGCCAAGGGGCGGCCAGAUAGAUAUCAUGCGAAGUAAUACAUUC